AGAUUUCCGUGGAGAGGAACAAUUCUGAGU
rnacentral:piRNA from 5 species